UACGUAGGGUGCAAGCGUUGUCCGGAAUUAUUGGGCGUAAAGAGCUCGUAGGCGGUUCGGUAAGUCGGGUGUGAAAACUUUGGGCUCAACCCAAAGCGUGCACUCGAUACUGCCAUGACUAGAGUUCGGUAGGGGAGUGGGGAAUUCCUAGUGUAGCGGUGAAAUGCGCAGAUAUUAGGAGGAACACCGGUGGCGAAGGCGCCACUCUGGGCCGAAACUGACGCUGAGGAGCGAAAGCGUGGGUAGCAAACAGG
rnacentral:rRNA from 1 species